rnacentral:rRNA from 1 species
CACGUAGGGGCUAGCGUUAUCCGGAAUUACUGGGCGUAAAGGGUGCGUAGGUGGUUUCUUAAGUCAGAGGUGAAAGGCUACGGCUCAACCGUAGUAAGCCUUUGAAACUGGGAAACUUGAGUGCAGGAGAGGAGAGUGGAAUUCCUAGUGUAGCGGUGAAAUGCGUAGAUAUUAGGAGGAACACCAGUUGCGAAGGCGGCUCUCUGGACUGUAACUGACACUGAGGCACGAAAGCGUGGGGAGCAAACAGGAUUAGAUACCCGUGUAGUCCCUGAG